GACGAACGCUGGCGGCGUGCCUAAUACAUGCAAGUAGAACGCUGAAGCGAGGAGCUUGCUCUUCUUGGAUGAGUUGCGAACGGGUGAGUAACGCGUAGGUAACCUGCCUUGUAGCGGGGGAUAACUAUUGGAAACGAUAGCUAAUACCGCAUAACAAUGGAUGACACAUGUCAUUUAUUUGAAAGGGGCAAUUGCUCCACUACAAGAUGGACCUGCGUUGUAUUAGCUAGUAGGUGAGGUAAUGGCUCACCUAGGCGACGAUACAUAGCCGACCUGAGAGGGUGAUCGGCCACACUGGGACUGAGACACGGCCCAGACUCCUACGGGAGGCAGCAGUAGGGAAUCUUCGGCAAUGGGGGCAACCCUGACCGAGCAACGCCGCGUGAGGGAAGAAGGUUGUCGGAUCGUAAAGCUCUGUUGUAAGUCAAGAACGGGUGUGAGAGUGGAAAGUUCACACUGUGACGGUAGCUUACCAGAAAGGGACGGCUAACUACGUG
rnacentral:rRNA from 1 species